rnacentral:rRNA from 1 species
AUUGAACGCUGGCGGCAUGCCUUACACAUGCAAGUCGAACGGCAGCAUGGAGAGCUUGCUCUCUGAUGGCGAGUGGCGAACGGGUGAGUAAUGCAUCGGAACGUACCGUGUAAUGGGGGAUAACGUAGCGAAAGUUACGCUAAUACCGCCUACGACCUGAGGGUGAAAGCAGGGGAUCGCAAGACCUUCCGUUCUACGAGCGGACGAUGUCAGAUUAGCUAGUUGGUGAGGUAAAGGCUCACCAAGGCGACGAUCUGUAGGGGGUCUGAGAGGAUGAUCCGCCACACUGGGACUGAGACACGGCCCAGACUCCUACGGGAGGCAGCAGUGGGGAAUUUUGGACAAUGGGGGCAACCCUGAUCCAGCCAUGCCGCGUGAGUGAAGAAGGCCUUCGGGUUGUAAAGCUCUUUCGGCCGGGAAGAAAUCGCACAGGCUAAUACUCUGUGUGGAUGACGGUACCGGCAUAAGAAGCACCGGCUAACUACGUGCCAGCCGCCGCAGUAA